AGAGUUUGAUCAUGGCUCAGGAUGAACGCUGGCGGCGUGCCUAAUACAUGCAAGUCGAGCGAAUGAUGAGGAGCUUGCUCCUCUGAUUUAGCGGCGGACGGGUGAGUAACACGUGGGUAAUCUGCCUGUAAGACGGGGAUAACUCCGGGAAACCGGGGCUAAUACCGGAUAAUAAGAGAAGAAGCAUUUCUUCUUUUUGAAAGUCGGCAUCUCGCUGACACUUACAGAUGAGCCCGCGGCGCAUUAGCUAGUUGGUGAGGUAACGGCUCACCAAGGCGACGAUGCGUAGCCGACCUGAGAGGGUGAUCGGCCACACUGGGACUGAGACACGGCCCAGACUCCUACGGGAGGCAGCAGUAGGGAAUCUUCGGCAAUGGGCGAAAGCCUGACCGAGCAACGCCGCGUGAGCGAUGAAGGCCUUCGGGUCGUAAAGCUCUGUUGUUAGAGAAGAACAAGUACGAGAGUAACUGCUCGUACCUCGACGGUACCUAACCAGAAAGCCACGGCUAACUACGUGCCAGCAGCCGCGGUAAUACGUAGGUGGCAAGCGUUAUCCGGAAUUAUUGGGCGUAAAGCGCGCGCAGGCGGUCUCUUAAGUCUGAUGUGAAAGCCCACGGCUCAACCGUGGAGGGUCAUUGGAAACUGGGAGACUUGAGUGCAGGAGAGAAAAGUGGAAUUCCACGUGUAGCGGUGAAAUGCGUAGAGAUGUGGAGGAACACCAGUGGCGAAGGCGGCUUUUUGGCCUGUAACUGACGCUG
rnacentral:rRNA from 1 species